GACGAACGCUGGCGGCGUGCUUAACACGUGCAAGUCGAACGGAAAGGCCCUGCUUUUGUGGGGUGCUCGAGUGGCGAACGGGUGAGUAACACGUGAGUAACCUGCCCUUGACUUUGGGAUAACUUCAGGAAACUGGGGCUAAUACCGGAUAGGAGCUCCUGCUGCAUGGUGGGGGUUGGAAAGUUUCGGCGGUUGGGGAUGGACUCGCGGCUUAUCAGCUUGUUGGUGGGGUAGUGGCUUACCAAGGCUUUGACGGGUAGCCGGCCUGAGAGGGUGACCGGCCACAUUGGGACUGAGAUACGGCCCAGACUCCUACGGGAGGCAGCAGUGGGGAAUAUUGCACAAUGGGCGGAAGCCUGAUGCAGCAACGCCGCGUGCGGGAUGACGGCCUUCGGGUUGUAAACCGCUUUCGCCUGUGACGAAGCGUGAGUGACUGUAAUGGGUAAAGAAGCACCGGCUAACUACGUG
rnacentral:rRNA from 1 species